AAAAGGAAACUGGAGAAAAAGGAUCAACUUAAGCUACAUAUUGAUGAAGGCGAUUUUUGCUGACUUCAACAUGCAGAAAAGAGCAUUGUCCCCGAUCAGCUACAGCCUACCUCAGAACAAUAGCUGGCCAAUGAAAGACGCGAAUCAGACAAGGAGUCAAGAAAAGGUUUGGAUUUGUCUUGAAAUCCAGACAUGAGGUAAGCUAAUAUGUUUCUUUUGUCUGUUUUGUCUUCUGUCCCCUCACUACUCUAUCUAACAUAACUAGCAUUUUCGUAUUCGUGUAUUGUAAAAAAUAAUCCCUCAUUUUUGAACUCUGUACUAAUUUGGUGUCAGUUUCUAAUUCUUAACAGGGGCAGGGGCAAUGGAGGAACUCCAUAAGUGGAUGCCUGCAGACGAAGAAAGGUCCUUUCUGAGGAUCCACUAUGCAAAGUGUACAUCAUUCUCCAAAGUGGCAGAGGAGUUUAUUGGACAAUAUUACUAA